rnacentral:sRNA from 2 species
UAUUGAUUAACGCUUAAUCUGAAUAGAGCGGGGGAACCAAUAUAUGGGGUGAAUCCCACAAUGCGUGGGUAGGGUUACUCUUUCAAUCCGAAUCCGUCAGCUAACCUCGUAAGCGUUGAAAGGGGAUGA